ACAUAGAAGUGACAGAUAUCUAUUGAAUCGAAUGCACUGGAUGCAUUUUAAUUUUCUCAAUUUAUAAGUGUAAUCCGCUUAAGUUUUUAAUUAAUAUGAAGUGUUACAUAAGAGAAUAAUGUUGGACACAUACUUGUGGAUAUUAUUUUUUAAUUAUCAAGAAUCUUCAAGAAUUUUAUUGUUUUUCAUCAUGGGUUACUAAACCACGCCAUGUUAACCUAUACAAUGUGUUGAUCGACCAAAUAGUUCUGAUUGUUUAAAAAAAUUAGGAGUUUAAAUGAGAAAUUCUUGCUGUGCCUACUUAUAAUCAGUAUUCCUGUGUCCGAAGAAGUGAAGCACAGGAUAUUAAAUCUAAUAAAUGAAAAAUAAAUGAAAAAGUUGUUCUGACACAAAUAUUGCAUGUUCGAUUAUCUUGGUUGCUUUGGUAGUGAUUGUACCUGUAUCAUGCACGAUUUGGCAAUGAUUUUUACAAUCCACCUGGGAUUGUUAUGUAAGCCGUCAAGGAGCGACGAUCUUUUAUAAUAAUUUUGUAGACGGCUGCAUCGCGGUCAAAGUGAAAGCAGCUGCCACUUGCUGUAUUAAUUUUGCAAU